ensembl:lncRNA
GCCAUAGAUCUCACACCACCAACUCAUGAGACGGAAACCUUUAAGUCAGUGAAUUAAUAUCUGGGUUUUCCUUUCUUUCUUUUUCCAGCAUCUCUCAAGAACCUUAGCAAGAAUAAGAAAGUGGUUCUGUUUCCUGAUGGCCUGAGAGUGGAAACCAUUAAAUUUAAAGAAUCACCUUUGUAUCCACUUGAAGCCAAUUUUUCUUCCAUCAUGAUGCUUCCAUCUCACAUAUGGACAAUUUAACAGCAAGAAACCAUGUCUGGGGUGAAGCGAGGCCCCAAGCAGUAGUGUCCCCUCAGGUGCUAGAGAUGAGGGCUUGGAUCUCAUGUUGUUCUGGUUCCUUUUCUUGAAGAUAUUUCUUUUUAGUAAACAUUUAGAAGAGUGAAAUGUGGUUCUUUAAAAUUAAGGCUCACAGGGAUAGUUCAGAAAACCAGAAGGGUUUGGAAUAAUGUCUGCACGUUUCCCCUCAUUACUUUUCUCUUUCUUGGAAUGUGUAUUGAAAAGUAUGGUUUCAUUUUCAUGUAACAUGUAACUUCUCACAUAGAGGUAUCUAGAACUUCCACUAUGUGAAGUUCAAAGCGUGAAAAUAUUUUAUCUGCUGA